UAAUACGGAGGAUGCAAGCGUUAUCCGGAUUCAUUGGGUUUAAAGGGUGCGCAGGUUGGAAUGUAAGUCAGUGGUGAAAUACUGCCGCUUAACGGUAGAACUGCCAUUGAUACUGCGUUUCUUGAGUAUGGUUGAGGUAGGUGGAAUGUGUUGUGUAGCGGUGAAAUGCAUAGAUAUGACACAGAACGCCAAUUGCGAAGGCAGCUUACUAAGCCAUUACUGACGCUGAGGCACGAAAGCGUGGGGAUCGAACAGGAUUAGAUACCCUGGUAGUCCACGCCGUAAACGAUGAUCACUCGCUGUUUGCGAUAUACAGCAAGCGGCUGAGCGAAAGCAUUAAGUGAUCCACCUGGGGAGUACGAUCGCAAGGUUGAAACUCAAAUGAAUUGACGG
rnacentral:rRNA from 1 species